UAGGGAAUCUUCGGCAAUGGACGAAAGUCUGACCGAGCAACGCCGCGUGAGUGAAGAAGGUUUUCGGAUCGUAAAACUCUGUUGUUAGAGAAGAACAAGGACGUUAGUAACUGAACGUCCACUGACGGUAUCUAACCAGAAAGCCACGGCUAACUACGUGCCAGCAGCCGCGGUAAUACGUAGGUGGCAAGCGUUGUCCGGAUUUAUUGGGCGUAAAGCGAGCGCAGGCGGUUUCUUAAGUCUGAUGUGAAAGCCCCCGGCUCAACCGGGGAGGGUCAUUGGAAACUGGGAGACUUGAGUGCAGAAGAGGAGAGUGGAAUUCCAUGUGUAGCGGUGAAAUGCGUAGAUAUAUGGAGGAACACCAGUGGCGAAGGCGGCUCUCUGGUCUGUAACUGACGCUGAGGCGCGAAAGCGUGGGGAGCAAACAGG
rnacentral:rRNA from 1 species